UUCUUUGAAUCUUUUUUGAUUUUUUUGAUUUUUUUUUUCAAAUUUGAAAGAGUUGAAGGAAGAGAUUUCAAAUUUGGAGGAGAUGAAGAAGAGAUAUGGAAGAGAUGGAGGAUAUAGUAGAAAUGAAGAAAAGAGGAAAUUAAAAAAUUUGGAAAAGAGAGAAUGAAGUUUGAAAAUUUGGAGAUGAGGGAAAGAAGGAACUGAAAUUUCAAAAUUUCGGACAACCUAACAGCGGAUUUUUGAAAUCCGCAGUUAAUCUAACGACAGUUUAGAAUCCGAUGUUAAAUAUUCUUUCUAACA
rnacentral:lncRNA from 1 species